AGUGAACGCUGGCGGUAGGCCUAACACAUGCAAGUCGAACGGCAGCACAGGAGAGCUUGCUCUCUGGGUGGCGAGUGGCGGACGGGUGAGGAAUACAUCGGAAUCUACUUUUUCGUGGGGGAUAACGUAGGGAAACUUACGCUAAUACCGCAUACGACCUACGGGUGAAAGCAGGGGAUCUUCGGACCUUGCGCGAUUGAAUGAGCCGAUGUCGGAUUAGCUAGUUGGCGGGGUAACGGCCCCCCAAGGCGACGAUCCGUAGCUGGUCUGAGAGGAUGAUCAGCCACACUGGAACUGAGACACGGUCCAGACUCCUACGGGAGUCAGCAGUGGGGAAUAUUGGACAAUGGGCGCAAGCCUGAUCCAGCCAUACCGCGUGUGUGAAGAAGGCCUUCGGGUUGUAAAGCCCUUUUGUUGGGAAAGAAAUCCAGCUGGUUAAUACCCGGUUGGGAUGACGGUACCCAAAGAAUAAGCACCGGCUAACUUCGUGCCAGCCGCCGCCGUAA
rnacentral:rRNA from 1 species